rnacentral:rRNA from 1 species
GCCAAUACUAGCCCUAAGCAUAACCAACACUAAUACCAAACCAACAUACACUAAACCAUUCACCUACACAAAGUAUAGGCGAUAGAAAUUUUAAUCUGGCGCUAUAGACAUAGUACCGUAAGGGAAAGAUAGAAAACCACCCAAGCACAAAACAGCAAAGACUAACUCCUGUACCUUUCGCAUAAUGAAUUAGCUAGAAACAAUUUUACGAAGAGGACUACAAGCCAAAUCCCCCGAAACCAGACGAGCUACCCAAAAACAGCUAAAAGAGCGCACCCGCCUAUGUGGCAAAAUAGUGGGAAGAUUUCUGGGUAGAGGUGACAAGCCUACCGAGCCUGGUGAUAGCUGGUUAUCCAAGACAGAAUCUUAGUUCAACCUUAAGCUUACCUACAGAACUACCUAAUCCCCCUGUAAGCUUAACUGCUAGUCUAAAGAGGGACAGCUCUUUAGACACUAGGAAAAAACCUUAUGGAGAGAGUAAAACCCUCAAUCACCAUAGUUGGCUUAAAAGCAGCCAUCAAUUAAGAAAGCGUUCAAGCUCAACACUAACCACCACAAAAAUACCAAACACAUAACUGAACUCCUCACACCACAUUGGAUUAAUCUAUCACCAUAUAGAAGCAAUAAUGCUAGUAUAAGUAACAUGAAUAUUUUCUCCACCGCAUAAGCCUAAAUCGGACCGAAAGCCUCACCGAUAUUUAACAGCCAGGCAUAACAAGCACAAACAAGCCCAUGCCACCUUCACUGUUAAUCCAACACAGGCAUGCCCCAAGGAAAGGUUAAAAAAAGUAAAAGGAACUCGGCAAACCCAAACCCCGCCUGUUUACCAAAAACAUCACCUCUAGCAUUACUAGUAUUAGAGGCACUGCCUGCCCAGUGACACACGUUUAACGGCCGCGGUACCCUGAC